UACAGAGGGUGCGAGCGUUGUCCGGAAUCACUGGGCGUAAAGGGCGCGUAGGCGGUGGCUUAAGCGUGUGGUGAAAGCUUCGGGCUCAACCCGGAGUCGGCCGUGCGAACUGCUGGGCUUGAGCACUGUAGAGGCAGGCGGAAUUCCGGGUGUAGCGGUGGAAUGCGUAGAGAUCCGGAAGAACACCGGUGGCGAAGGCGGCCUGCUGGCAGUAGCUGACACUGAGGCGCGGACAGCGUGGGGAGCAAACAGG
rnacentral:rRNA from 1 species